ensembl:lncRNA
ACCGGUUUAGUCUUGUCCCCUUCAUCCACAUGGUGGGAAAGACAAACCAGGUUUAUGACACACACAUCAUUAACAAAGGGUUGAGUUGCUCGGCAUUUGUUCACAUGGUGGUGUGAGGACCGAGACCUCGAAAAAAAGAAAAGAAAAAAAGAGUGAAGGGCUCGUCUGCAGCAGAAAAACUGCUCAUAAAAGCUCAGAGUCAAUGAAACGAAUUGCUGGAUGUUGACCCAGAUUCUGAACAAGCCCGAUCCACAUACACCCCAUCCUGUACCACCACCUUGGUGACAGACAACUAGAGGUCCAACGUCCAUGGCUACAGAGCUGUGAAAAGUAUUUGUCCCCGUCCUUCUUU